AUGGCUACUACUUACACUCUUUCACCAGCUCCUGUCAUGAUCCAAUUUGUAUCACUGUGGUGGACUUUUGGUGGAGGAACCAGACUGGAUGUUGGAAGUGAUGUCCGUCCCACCCUAACGGUGCUGCCCCCCUCGAGUGAGGAGCUGGACCCGGAGCUGAAGCAGGGCAAGGCCACGCUUAUAUGUCUGGCCAACAAGGGCUUCCCCUCAGACUGGAGUCUGGCCUGGAAGGUGGACGGAAGCAGCAGCAGCAGCUUGGAGCAGAGCAGGAGCCCCGCGGUGCUGCAGAAGGACGGCCUCUACAGCUGGAGCAGCACCCUGAGGCUCACUGCAGACCAGUGGAGGAAGGUGGGCUCUGUGACCUGUGAGGCCACCCAGGGCUCCCAGACUCCACUCUCAGAGACACUGAGGAGAGACCAGUGU